UAUAACAAUGGCAUUUCCCAGCUUCGUGCUCAGUUCUGAAGUUGAAGACUCGGAAGUCUAAGCUUUGGAAAAGGUUCUCAAUCAUGUAUUGUCUUAUGAUGGUAUGCUUCUGGAGAGGAGUUGGAAUCACCAGUCACACUCAUUUAUGAGCGUUAAUGCAGGGACUAGAAAACAUGAGCUUAGACAACCUCCCUCCUCCCUCCCCGCCAACUUUGGCCAAGUUAUCAACUUCUCAACAUAUUCUUCCCAUGGGAGCAAGCUAAAAGUUAGGUACACUCGUACGUUUCAUAAGAGUGACUGAAAUUGUGGUAAGAUACUUAUAAAAUGCAUAUUUCAGAUUCUGCUUGGAAAUAAAAUGUAUAUGUCGUGUCCUCAAGGGGCAUCCCAGUGGUAAAGGCUUGGAAUCUCAAGUUCAAAUCCCAUUGGGUGGGGUAGAGGGGGGUUUAUGAAAUGGGGGAGAGCUGCACUCAUUGUGUAGCUCAUCCAAUGAAUAAAAGAAAAUGUAUAUUUUGUUAUAUAUUUAAAACUUCGAAUUCGGACCCUCAGGGCUCUCAUGUAUAAGUUUGAGUUUACAAUGCAUAGUUUGACACAGUUUGUUAUAAAAUGUUGUUUGCUG
rnacentral:misc_RNA from 1 species